UCUCGUCUCCUCCCUUCGCUUGCAAUCGCUUCGUCUCGCUCCCAUCCCUCCCUCCCCCGCGUCCAGCUCAGAGAUGAGCUCUCCCACCUGUACGCGCGAAUCUAGAACCUUCUAGAUCCUCUCCCCUUCCCGAUCCGCCCGCCUCGCCUCGUCUCCCGCCCCACCCCGAUCCGAUCCCCCGAAGGUCUCGGGGUUGGGGGGGGGGGGGGGCGAAUCCUGAUGGCGGCGCACGGCGGUGGCGGCGUGGAGGAGGAUCAGGCGGGGUCGAGCUCGCUGUGCCCACCUGCUGCGGAGGCAGAGGCGGCGGCUGCGGCGGCGGCGAUAGCGAGGGCGGCGCGGCCUCCGAGGCCGGGCAGGGACAAGAGGCUCGGCGUGCGGCACCCGCUGAAGCACCGGAGGUUCCGCGCGGGGGGCAAGGCGGCGGUGGCGGCCGGCGCUAGGGAGGUCGGGGAGGCGACCACCGUGGCGGAGGCGACGGCGACGGGGCCUCCGAAGGGGAGCGACGAGGAUGACGAGGCUAGGUACAUUUGCGGCGGAUGGACGAGUGAUGAUGGAAGAAUGAGUUGUGGAUACUCAAGCUUUAGAGGGAGAAGAGCAAACAUGGAAGACUUCUAUGACAUAAAAUCAUCAAAAGUUGAUGAUAACCAAAUAAACCUCUUUGGAAUAUUUGAUGGUCAUGGUGGUUCACAUGCUGCUGAGCAUUUAAAGAAGCACUUAUUUGAAAAUCUUCUGAAACAUCCGUCAUUCAUCACUGAUACAAAAUCAGCAAUAAGUAUGAUGUGAGACCUACAGAAAAACUGACUCUGAUUUCUUGGAUGCUGAGACUAAUAUUAAUAGAGAGGAUGGGUCAACUGCAUCAACAGCAAUUUUCGUUGGUAACCAUAUCUAUGUGGCAAAUGUUGGUGACUCACGAACUGUGAUGUCAAAGGCUGGCAAAGCUAUUGCACUCUCUAGUGAUCACAAACCAAAUAGAAAAGAUGAGCGGAAACGGAUUGAGAAUGCUGGAGGGGUUGUGACAUGGUCUGGGACAUGGAGGGUUGGUGGUGUACUAGCAAUGUCUCGGGCUUUUGGUAAUCGUUUCUUGAAGCGAUUCGUUGUUGCUGAGCCUGAGGUCCAGGAACAAGAAAUAGAUGAUGAUUUGGAGUUUCUGAUUUUGGCUAGUGAUGGGCUGUGGGAUGUGGUGUCCAAUGAGCAUGCCGUUGCAUUUGUAAAGGCGGAGGAGGGCCCUGAGGCCGCAGCCCGGAAGCUGGCAGAGAUUGCUUUUGCCCGUGGAAGCACCGACAAUAUAACAUGCAUCGUUGUAAAAUUUCUCCAUGCUAAGAUGGCCGUAGAUGCUGCCUCGUCUAGUGAGCGAAGUUGAUUUCUUCUGUUCUAUUUCUCUUGUUCAUUUUAUCAUCUUAAUCUGGAGUGCUGGCAUCAAUCACGGUGCAACCUUAACUAUUGGGCGUUUAUAUAUUUGUUUGUUCAUUGACCU